CCCCUUUGAAUCCGUCCCGUCCCGUCCUAUAUCAGCCUUGUCCCUUCGGGGACUAUGGACAUAAACGCGCUCGUAAUAAGCGGCUCGGACCCGGGGGCGGUACCCGGCGGCUCCACCAAACAUCCUUCAUUUGGGGAUCAUGGGGCCGAAAUAGGAUCGACGAACGUCUAAAGGGGUUUUGCUUUGUCUCGGCUGUCUGCCACCGUUACCGGCGAAAAAAGUACAAUUGCAAAUGACAAUCGUGCUCCGAUGGCUCUGGCCGCGUAAGCGGUUCGAGUGAUCGAAACCUAAGUCCUUGCGUUUAGCGACGUAAGGCGGGGUCCGCAGGUACCUGGCAACAGAAACCUGCACC
rnacentral:tmRNA from 1 species